rnacentral:rRNA from 1 species
CCUACGGGAGGCAGCAGUGAGGAAUAUUGGUCAAUGGACGAGAGUCUGAACCAGCCAAGUAGCGUGAAGGAUGACUGCCCUAUGGGUUGUAAACUUCUUUUAUAUGGGAAUAAAAUGUUCCACGUGUGGGAUUUUGUAUGUACCAUAUGAAUAAGGACCGGCUAAUUCCGUGCCAGCAGCCGCGGUAAUACGGAGGAUCCGAGCGUUAUCCGGAUUUAUUGGGUUUAAAGGGAGCGUAGGUGGAUUGUUAAGUCAGUUGUGAAAGUUUGCGGCUCAACCGUAAAAUUGCAGUUGAAACUGGCAGUCUUGAGUACAGUAGAGGUGGGCGGAAUUCGUGGUGUAGCGGUGAAAUGCUUAGAUAUCACGAAGAACUCCGAUUGCGAAGGCAGUUCACUGGACUGCAACUGACACUGAGGCUCGAAGGUGUGGGUAUCAAACAGGAUUAGAUACCCGAGUAGUC